ACAGACCGGUGGGCAAGAAUCAAUCAGAUCCUGACGCUUGCAAAGCCUGCAACUGUAACACAAAUGGAACAGCACACGUCUCGAACAUAUCGUUUGGUGACUGCGUAAGAGAUGAAAAUGAAUUGUCUAUUCAUCCCGGGAAGCAACCAGGGGACUGUUACUGUAAGGCGUUUGUACAAGGCCGACAAUGUGACACGUGCCAGGCCGGUUAUUACAGGCUUACUA